UACGGAGGGUGCAAGCGUUGUCCGGAUUUAUUGGGUUUAAAGGGUGCGUAGGUGGCCCUGCAAGUCCGUGGUGAAAGCCUGCCGCUUAACGGCAGAACUGCCAUGGAUACUACAGGGCUUGAGUCCAGACGAGGUUGGCGGAAUGGAUGGUGUAGCGGUGAAAUGCAUAGAUAUCAACCAGAACGCCGAUAGCGAAGGCAGCUCGCUGAGGAUGUACCGACGCUGAGGCACGAUAGCGUGGGGAUCAAACAGG
rnacentral:rRNA from 1 species